rnacentral:tRNA from 1 species
AGUUAAUGAGCUUGAAUAAGCUUAUGUUUUGAAAACAUACGAUAGAAAUUUUAUUUUCUAUUAACUU